AAACAUUGCCUUAUGACUAACUUAUAUUAGGUACAUCCUGCCCAGUGAUAUAUUUAAACGGCCGCGGUACCCUGACCGUGCUAAGGUAGCAUAAUCAUUUGCCUUUUAAUUAAAGGCUAGAAUGAAAGGACAAACGAAAAUUCACCUGUCUCAAAUAAAUAUCUAAAAAUUAAUAUUUUAAUGAAUAAGUUAAAAUAAAUAUAAAGGACAAAAAGACCCUGUAGAACUUUAUUUUAAUAUAAUAUUAUUAUUAAUAUUUAUAAAAACAAUUUAUUAUAAAAUAAUUUAGUUGGGGCGACUUUGGAAUACAAAAAUCUUCCUUCAAAAAAUAAGCCUAUAAGCUAAUCCAAUGACCCUACUACAAGAUCACAAGAAUAGUUACCUCAGGGAUAACAGACUAAUUUUCCUUAAGAGACCACAUUGACAGGAAAGUUUGGCACCUCGAUGUUGGCUUAGGUACCCCUUGAAGAGCAGCCUCUUCAAAAACGGCAGGCUUGUUCAUCCUUUAAAUACCUACGUGAUCU
rnacentral:rRNA from 1 species